AGAACUUUGCUAAAGUUGUUCAUCAGCUGAAGAAGCUUUUGGGCCAAGACUAUGGGGUUUUCUAAAUAUUGAAUCAUGUCAUCUGCAAAUAGAGACUGUUUGACUUUCUCUCUUCUUAUUUGAAGGCGGCUUUAUUUCUUCCUCUUGCAUGAUUGCGCUGGCCAGGACUUCAAAUAGAUAGAAGGUCUCAAAUUAACAACC